CAAUAAGCGGAGGAAAAGAAACCAACAGGGAUUGCCCUAGUAACGGCGAGUGAAGCGGCAACAGCUCAAAUUUGAAAUCUGGCUCUUUCAGAGUCCGAGUUGUAAUUUGCAGAGGGCGCUUUGGCUUUGGCAGCGGUCCAAGUUCCUUGGAACAGGACGUCACAGAGGGUGAGAAUCCCGUACGUGGUCGCUAGCUAUUGCCGUGUAAAGCCCCUUCGACGAGUCGAGUUGUUUGGGAAUGCAGCUCUAAAUGGGAGGUAAAUUUCUUCUAAAGCUAAAUAUUGGCCAGAGACCGAUAGCGCACAAGUAGAGUGAUCGAAAGAUGAAAAGCACUUUGGAAAGAGAGUCAAACAGCACGUGAAAUUGUUGAAAGGGAAGCGCUUGCAGCCAGACAUGCUUGCAGUUGCUCAUCCGGGCUUUUGCCCGGUGCACUCUUCUGUAGGCAGGCCAGCAUCAGUUUGGGCGGUGGGAUAAAGGUCUCUGUCACGUACCUCUCUUCGGGGAGGCCUUAUAGGGGAGACGACAUACCACCAGCCUAGACUGAGGUCCGCGCAUCUGCUAGGAUGCUGGCGUAAUGGCUGUAAGCGGCCCGUCUUGAAACACGGACCAAGGAGUCUAACAUCUAUGCGAGUGUUUGGGUGUCAAGCCCGAGCGCGUAAUGAAAGUGAACGGAGGUGGGAACCCGCAAGGGUGCACCAUCGACCGAUCCUGAAGUUUACGGAAGGAUUUGAGUAAGAGCAUGGCUGUUGGGACCCGAAAGAUGGUGAACUAUGCUUGAAUAGGGUGAAGCCAGAGGAAACUCUGGUGGAGGCUCGCAGCGGUUCUGACGUGCAAAUCGAUCGUCAAAUUUGGGCAUAGGGGCGAAAGACUAAUCGAACUAUCUAGUAGCU
rnacentral:rRNA from 1 species